GGGGAAUAUUGGGCAAUGGAGGAAACUCUGACCCAGCCAUGCCGCGUGAGUGAUGAAGGCCUUAGGGUUGUAAAGCUCUUUUGUCAGGGAAGAUAAUGACGGUACCUGAAGAAUAAGCACCGGCUAACUUCGUGCCAGCAGCCGCGGUAAUACGAAGGGUGCUAGCGUUGUUCGGAAUUACUGGGCGUAAAGCGCGCGUAGGCUGCAUCGCAAGUCAGGGGUGAAAUCCCGGGGCUCAACCUCGGAAUUGCCUUUGAAACUGCGAUGCUGGAAUCUCAGAGGGGAUAGCGGAAUUCCAAAUGUAGGGGUGAAAUCCGUAGAUAUUUGGAGGAACACCGGUGGCGAAGGCGGCUAUCUGGAUGAGUAUUGACGCUGAGGCGCGAAAGCGUGGGGAUCAAAC
rnacentral:rRNA from 1 species